CUCUGCAGUUAUGUUUGAAAUAUAUCUAAUAAAGUGGGGAAAAACUGCAAGUAAAGUUUUGAAACUAGAGCCCGAAAACAAGAAUGUUAUGGAUGUUCAAGCACCUAAUCUGGAGGCAAUCAGCUACAGAUGAACUACAAAAACAAUAAAAAGCAAAGUAAUAUGGAAUAUUUCAGUAGUGGCAUGAACAGCACUUGAAAUAAAAUAGAUAUCUAAUUUAAAACAAUAA